rnacentral:rRNA from 1 species
GACGAACGCUGGCGGCGUGCUUAACACAUGCAAGUCGAGCGGAAAGGCCCUGCUUUUGUGGGGUGCUCGAGUGGCGAACGGGUGAGUAACACGUGAGUAACCUGCCCUUGACUUUGGGAUAACUUCAGGAAACUGGGGCUAAUACCGGGUAGGAGCUCCUGCUGCAUGGUGGGGGUUGGAAAGUUUCGGCGGUUGGGGAUGGACUCGCGGCUUAUCAGCUUGUUGGUGGGGUAGUGGCUUACCAAGGCUUUGACGGGUAGCCGGCCUGAGAGGGUGACCGGCCACAUUGGGACUGAGAUACGGCCCAGACUCCUACGGGAGGCAGCAGUGGGGAAUAUUGCACAAUGGGCGGAAGCCUGAUGCAGCAACGCCGCGUGCGGGGUGACGGCCUUCGGGUUGUAAACCGCUUUCGCCUGUGACGAAGCGUGAGUGACGGUAAUGGGUAAAGAAGCACCGGCUAACUACGUG